AGCCAGAAGAUUUGAAAUGCAUUAUAUUAAUCUAGCAUAGAAAUUUUAAUUGUUAAAGGUUGAGACACCCUGUAUACGUGUACGCGAGCACAUAGUGUGCAUAUAUGCGGUGACUGCAAACAGAACCGCGUAGAACAGAACGGAGCGGAACCGAAUGAAACGGAACAGCGGCGAACGCAGCGUAGAAGCGCGAGUUGACUGCAGCAGCAGGGGCGCAGCAUGUUUAUUGGCGCAUCUCACAGUCUUAAAUCUUUAUGUUGUCUCCGCGACGGGGUCUGCUAUCCCCCUGUCCCAUUGGCGAGCUUCUUCCACACGCGGAGAAAGAGGGAGAAUCUGAGGCACCGGCUACGGAAAAGGGCAAGAAGGAACGCGAAUCGGCGGUCAGGAAGAGCGAGAAAGAGGCUCUCUCAGGACACAUCGGGAGAGAUAUAUCUUCUCGGGAGAGUUGUGGUCUCGCGAAAUCGAGUCAAGAGUCGGAUAAACCAACGACCAAGAGGCGCAUCCACCGCAUUACGCACACAGAAGCUGCGAUUUUAACGUGCCUCUAGAAAUGGCCGCAUGUCAUUCCGAGGAAUAUAUCCUGUCGGUGCUAAAAGCGCAAUAUAGGUAUAAAGACGCGUUGGCGCAUGUUAUUUUCGACGAAACAGCCGUAGUGACAAUGGUCGGUGUUGUCACCGAUGGCAAUGAUUUGCUACAACACCGGAGUUUCGAGUACUUUUUGCACUUUGGACAUCCGAGAUUAUCAGCACGGCGAUCGAUGCUGCACGGAUAUCAUGAAAGCAAGGAGGGCCGCCGCCGCCGCCGCCGCCGCCGCGUCGCCUUCAUGGAGGAACGCGAAGAGGACGACGAGCGGCGUCGAGAGGACGAAGAUGAGAAGUAGAUGAGGACCCGCCACGCCGCGCCGCACCGCACCGCGUCACGGGCUUUCACAAUGUUCCCGUUUCGCGCCGUCAAGCGGUGCGCGUGCAUCCUCGGAGACGGCGAAGUAUCGCGCUGCGGAUCGUUAAACGACAGACGAUUUCGCGUCGCACGGACGUUACUCGACAGGAGACACGAUGAGCAUCAUCGUUGUGAGUGAUCGUUCUUACGUUCCUUUGUGCGAGUGAAUCACUGAGAAAACAAGCGAAGAAAAAAAAAGAAAAAGAAAAGAAAACGAAACCGGACCAAGAGAGGGAGUGAGUGCAUCAACGCAUUUGUGUGAAAUGGAUGGUACGCCAAGGAAAAGCGAAGCAGUGCUAAUAUAUGGAUGCCCAUGGGUGGAACUUGGCCGAAAUGUGCCAGCGCUACCAUCACGCUAUACCGGCGGCAGCGGCGGCGCAGAAUUCUUCGCCAGCUAGGGAUCACUCGACUGCCAUCGCGCAGGGCCUGUCAACCGCCGUGCACAUCGAUCAAACCAGUCCAUCUUAUUCUCACUAUACGAUGCUGGACAAUUAUGACAGGGGUGAGGUGACGCCACCACCGCCGGUGAGCGGUUACGGCGGCUCGCCCGGACUCCUGGCACUUCAUUCUUCGCUUUACGCGACUCCCACAUCGAGGGCUUACGACAUCGACUCCGGUAUCGACGGUAACGACAGCUCGAUGCCCAUCGAUACUCAAAUCAUCUCGAUACCGAGCAUGCUGAGCGGUCCGGCGGCACAGCAGCGGCUGGAGGACAUGCCGUGGCUCGCGGCUUCCGGCCCGUCGCUGGAAUACCAGCAGGGCAUCUCGCCGAUUCCCGCGGGAGUGAAGAUGUGCCAUCCCGGCGGCGGUAGCGCUCAGAGGAGCCUGAAGGAACAACGGAUACGUCGGCCGAUGAACGCGUUUAUGGUCUGGGCGAAGGUCGAGCGCAAGAAAUUGGCCGACGAGAAUCCGGAUCUCCACAAUGCCGAUCUCAGCAAGAUGCUCGGAAAGAAAUGGCGAGGGCUAACGCCGCAAGACAGAAGGCCGUACGUCGAGGAGGCCGAGCGCCUCCGCGUUAUACACAUGCAGGAGCAUCCGAAUUACAAGUACCGGCCGCGGCGUAGGAAGCACGCGAAACGGACACCCGGUGCACCGUCCUCGCCAACCUCGGCGACCAACACCGCGGGCAGCAGGUCCAACCCGGCGGGUCCGACGAUUCAUCAUUCCAUGUCCAAGAUGGACAGUUACCAAGGCAUACCUCAGAUCCCUUGGGGUGGCCACUCCCCGAUCUCAUCCCUUUAUCACCAGCAGCAGCAGCAAGGUAUUCAGGAGUACAAAUCGGAAAACAACUCGCUUUACGGCAGCCCUUACACGCCCAUUAUCCACACUCCGGACAUAUCUCCAGUGGCCAGUCCUGAGCCUGACGGCGACGGCGGGCAUCUACCGUCACAAAAUCCGGAUUCGGAACGGGAUCUGAUGGAGGGCACGUCGAAGCAGCACGGAGAUAUGACGGAUCAGGCGAAACGAUACACCUUCAUGAGCAGCGACAAUCAACUGCACACGGGUCACGCUAGUAACACUAGCAUAUCGUCCUGUCAGAAUUCCGGCGGUUAUACGGAUACUUUAACGUACAAAAAAUCCGUGGGCUAUUUGAACUUUGAAAGACAAUCCACGAGCAUAGCCGCGGUGGGCAUAGCGAACGGUAUGAUGGUGUCGUGCAACAAGUUGCGCUCCGGCUUCGACAACGUCGGUUCCGUCACGGGCACAUUUUAUCCGCCGGUCGCGUCGCCGCACGAUCAAUCGCUGCAACAUUACAGCAACACGCAAUCGUCCAAGAGCACGAACUAUUCGAUGCAGUCCACCGUCGAGAGCAAUUAUAAUCCGAUCCAGUGCAAUCGGCAGCAGUCCAUAGGAAUCCGCGGAGCCGCUGACAAUUGUUCCGGCGCAGUGACGCACCGGUAUCAAAUGCCGCACCAUCAAGAGUAUCAGACGGACGCGUCCUCCGGCAGUGCUCAGCAGCAACAGCAGCACACGAUCCUCGGCGGCCACAUCAAUCCCGUCAUGAGCGCCGAGGAUGAUCAGCAGCAGCAGCUGCAGCUGGAAAAGUAUUUCAAGUAUUCGCAUCCGACGAGCGUGGCACACUCGAGCUUGUCCUCGCAGAGUAUGCUGGACAGCAAUCAUAAUUACGCCAGCGAUCUGCGCUACUAUGGCGCACCGCCGCAGUCGCAACUGGACAUGCCGAAUUCGCAGUGCAUCGUCGACGAGGGCGGCAAGGACGCCCGUUGCUCCAACGUUGCGAUUGGUCACGCCAUGGAGCAGUAUCAUCCGAGCCUGGAAGUAUCCAAAUAUCCGGACCAUUCGACCUCGCAACAGCAUCCGCAAUCACAAUCGCAGCAGCAGCAGCAGCAGCAGCAGCAGCAGCAGCAGCAGCAGCAGAGCAUGGAGCAUGUGACCAAGGCCGACGACGAUUUCAGUGUUAUACUUGCGGACGUACGCAAGACCUGCUACAGUAGCUAGUGCCUUUUCUUUAAAGUGCACGGGACGAUCUGCGUGAUUCGACUUGGAUGUAUGCAUCCCCGUGCGGCGGACUCUUCCUUCGAUCGGAAAGAACGCUCGUGUACAUUUUACGUCAUCGCAUGGUUGGUGCUAUCUCGAAAUAUAUCAAAGCAUUUUUAUCUCUCCGUGAUAGAAGGUAUGUUUUUUUUUUCAUUAAUUUUGAAAAUAGUAUUUUAGUUUCGUAUGUUUUUACGAGCGAGAGAUAUUGUUCGCAACUCGAUUUUAUGCAAUUCUAGCACCGGCAAUUCCAGAGUUUAUUUUACAAGUUUUAUUUUCUAGAGAAUUUUAUCUAUGGCUGAGUAUCUCAUAUGUAUAAGCACGAUCUCUUAUGAAUUUCAGUUCAACUGAAAUUAUAUUCAUGCAAGUCAGUGGUGUACAAAUGUCGCCUGUCAAUGAGCUGCAAGUCAAGUUCUACGCUCGGCUGCUUAGAAGGAUGCGACAAUAGGUAGUGAGGGUCUAUCAAGGAAGUCGUGCCGGGUACAAUUCUCCUCAGCACCAUUAACACAUGCAUCUUCUAUUCACAGUACAGUACUUGCUGACUAAACGACAUCAAAUAUUGCUAGAUAUUGAUCGCAAACGUUUCGCAAACAUCGGAUUACAAGCGUUUUUAUACCGCAUCGAUAAGUGCUAGCUACUUUCUUGCCAUCGGAUUUUCCUUUGCAAAACUUUAGACCACAUGGAUACCAAC
rnacentral:misc_RNA from 1 species